rnacentral:rRNA from 1 species
GAUGAACGCUGGCGGCAUGCCUAAUACAUGCAAGUCGGACGAGGAUGUUUCUACAUCCUAGUGGCGAACGGGUGAGUAACACGUAGGGAACCUGCCCCUAAGACGAGGAUAACUACUGGAAACGGUAGCUAAUACUGGAUAGGAUAAGUUGACGCAUGUUGGCUUAUUUAAAGGUGCCUAUAAAGCACCGCUUAGGGAUGGCCCUGCGGCGCAUUAGCUAGUUGGUGGGGUAACGGCCUACCAAGGCGACGAUGCGUAGCUGUGCUGAGAGGCAGAACAGCCACACUGGGACUGAGACACGGCCCAGACUCCUACGGGGGGCAGCAGUGGGGAAUCUUCCACAAUGGGCGAAAGCCUGAUGGAGCGACGCCGCGUGAGCGAAGAAGGCCUUCGGGUUGUUAAAGCGUCUGUCUGGAGGGACGAAGGAAGUGACGGUACCUCCGGAGGAAGCCACGGCUAACUACGUG